AAGACUAUAGACCUGCGGAGUACCUGCGGAAGGAUCAUUACAAAUUGGCCUUUGGUCUGGCUUUUGCCAACCCUGUGUACCUUAUAUAAAACCUACCGUGUUGCUUUAGUAUCUAGCAUCUAUAGAUGCGCUACUAUAGUAUCGGCCUAUAACACACACUACUUAGAACUGAUCUGACUUUUAUGAUAACGAGUAAAAACUUUUAACAAUGGAUCUCU
rnacentral:misc_RNA from 1 species